AGUGAACGCUGGCGGUAGGCCUAACACAUGCAAGUCGAACGACAGCACAGGAGAGCUUGCUCUCUGGGUGGCGAGUGGCGGACGGGUGAGGAAUACAUCGGAAUCUACUUUUUCGUGGGGGAUAACGUAGGGAAACUUACGCUAAUACCGCAUACGACCUACGGGUGAAAGCAGGGGAUCUUCGGACCUUGCGCGAUUGAAUAAGCCGAUGUCGGAUUAGCUAGUUGGCGGGGUAAAGGCCCACCAAGGCGACGAUCCGUAGCUGGUCUGAGAGGAUGAUCAGCCACACUGGAACUGAGACACGGUCCAGACUCCUACGGGAGGCAGCAGUGGGGAAUAUUGGACAAUGGGCGCAAGCCUGAUCCAGCCAUACCGCGUGGGUGAAGAAGGCCUUCGGGUUGUAAAGCCCUUUUGUUGGGAAAGAAAUCCAGCUGGUUAAUACCCGGUUGGGAUGACGGUACCCAAAGAAUAAGCACCGGCUAACUUCGUGCCAGCAGCCGCAGUAA
rnacentral:rRNA from 1 species